AGAGUUUGAUCCUGGCUCAGGAUGAACGCUGGCGGCGUGCCUAAUACAUGCAAGUCGAGCGAACGGACGAGAAGCUUGCUUCUCUGAUGUUAGCGGCGGACGGGUGAGUAACACGUGGAUAACCUACCUAUAAGACUGGGAUAACUUCGGGAAACCGGAGCUAAUACCGGAUAAUAUUUUGAACCGCAUGGUUCAAAAGUGAAAGACGGUCUUGCUGUCACUUAUAGAUGGAUCCGCGCUGCAUUAGCUAGUUGGUAAGGUAACGGCUUACCAAGGCAACGAUGCAUAGCCGACCUGAGAGGGUGAUCGGCCACACUGGAACUGAGACACGGUCCAGACUCCUACGGGAGGCAGCAGUAGGGAAUCUUCCGCAAUGGGCGAAAGCCUGACGGAGCAACGCCGCGUGAGUGAUGAAGGUCUUCGGAUCGUAAAACUCUGUUAUUAGGGAAGAACAUAUGUGUAAGUAACUGUGCACAUCUUGACGGUACCUAAUCAGAAAGCCACGGCUAACUACGUGCCAGCAGCCGCGGUAAUACGUAGGUGGCAAGCGUUAUCCGGAAUUAUUGGGCGUAAAGCGCGCGUAGGCGGUUUUUUAAGUCUGAUGUGAAAGCCCACGGCUCAACCGUGGAGGGUCAUUGGAAACUGGAAAACUUGAGUGCAGAAGAGGAAAGUGGAAUUCCAUGUGUAGCGGUGAAAUGCGCAGAGAUAUGGAGGAACACCAGUGGCGAAGGCGACUUUCUGGUCUGUAACUGACGCUGAUGUGCGAAAGCGUGGGGAUCAAACAGGAUUAGAUACCCUGGUAGUCCACGCCGUAAACGAUGAGUGCUAAGUGUUAGGGGGUUUCCGCCCCUUAGUGCUGCAGCUAACGCAUUAAGCACUCCGCCUGGGGAGUACGACCGCAAGGUUGAAACUCAAAGGAAUUGACGGGGACCCGCACAAGCGGUGGAGCAUGUGGUUUAAUUCGAAGCAACGCGAAGAACCUUACCAAAUCUUGACAUCCUUUGACAACUCUAGAGAUAGAGCCUUCCCCUUCGGGGGACAAAGUGACAGGUGGUGCAUGGUUGUCGUCAGCUCGUGUCGUGAGAUGUUGGGUUAAGUCCCGCAACGAGCGCAACCCUUAAGCUUAGUUGCCAUCAUUAAGUUGGGCACUCUAAGUUGACUGCCGGUGACAAACCGGAGGAAGGUGGGGAUGACGUCAAAUCAUCAUGCCCCUUAUGAUUUGGGCUACACACGUGCUACAAUGGACAAUACAAAGGGCAGCGAAACCGCGAGGUCAAGCAAAUCCCAUAAAGUUGUUCUCAGUUCGGAUUGUAGUCUGCAACUCGACUACAUGAAGCUGGAAUCGCUAGUAAUCGUAGAUCAGCAUGCUACGGUGAAUACGUUCCCGGGUCUUGUACACACCGCCCGUCACACCACGAGAGUUUGUAACACCCGAAGCCGGUGGAGUAACCUUUUAGGAGCUAGCCGUCGAAGGUGGGACAAAUGAUUGGGGUGAAGUCGUAACAAGGUAGCCGUAUCGGAAGGGGCGGCUG
rnacentral:rRNA from 2 species